rnacentral:lncRNA from 1 species
GUAGGAUUACCUGUGGCCAAAUCAGUGCACAAGCUCCCACCAACCACGUCUCCUGGGAAAUAGGGACCUUUGAUGUCACCUGCCCAUCAUCUCAUACUCGCCGUCCUUUAAAGCCUCCUGUCAAUAAUACAAGGCAGAAGCACCUAGAAAGUGGGUUUCAGAAGGGGCAGGGGGAAGACAGUCUGCGUGGCCCCAUGGAGGUUCCCGGGCAGCGGUCCUUCUAAACCAUGCUGCAGAGGUGGGAGCUGAAGCCCUGCUUGGCCCCACAUCACGCCUGGUGGGGAGAGCCCUGCCUUGGUCUGACCCAGGGCUCUCUUCAGGUGGCUCCCCAGGAUGCCGUGAGCUGCUGUCACGACUGGGUGCCCAGGGAGCUAGCUGCUGUCACCCCUUCACCACCGUUACGAUGAAGGAGAGCUCCCGUCAAAGUCUGCUGCAGACACUGCCCCAUUUGAUUGACUGUGAAGAAAACAGUUCAAAGCUGUUGAUGAACUGGACCAGGGCUGCACAGCCUGUCUUGAAAACACAUCACUCAGCACAUGUGGGUGUGGGUCUCCUGUUCCUUCUGCACCUUUUUCUUAGGGUCCUCUCCCACAGAGGCCCACAGGCCUGGGGAGAGAGGAACUAAAUGAGUACUGGGUGGCAGUUACUUAAUACCAGGGAGGAUGAGAAACUAUGGAGAAUGUGGCUGCUCCCAGACACUCUCAGGCCCCAAGGCCCCAGUGGGCAGAGGAUCUUGUCCCAGCUGUUAGCCUGUGGCAGAUGAGCCUCCAGCAAAUUCCAUUAGCUUGCUAAAUGGUUGAGGUGCCCUUAGCAGGCCCGGAGAGCACACCAGCAUGGACUCCGGGUGAGGCUGGCACAUGCUGAGUGUGACAUGACUGGAAAGGAACACACUCCUCUGUCCCCGGUCUCCUUUGGGAGUCACUGUCUGAAGCUCCAGGGUUCACUCAGGGUCAGACUGGCUGCAGGACUGUCUCAUCUAUUCUUGUUUAUACAGGAUGCACACUGGGUGCUGUGGGGGUCAGACUAGCACAGUGUGUCCUCAGGGGAUGCAGAGGAUGUCAGGGCGUGUGCCACAUGGCUGACCUCUGGCCCGUGCAGAGUUAUGGGAGAACAGCAUUCUCAGCCAGGGGGCUCUGGGCGCGUGGCUGCUGUCGCGGUUGGUGUCUGUCUGUGCCUUGGUGCUCAUUUAGUAAUGCCUUGCCUCUUCCUAAAACAGAUCUGAACAGCCUGGUGCUUUGGGGAGCAAAGGUCAGACGUUUAUUCCCAGGUUUAUUUUUUAAAUGGGGCUGAGCCGCACUGAUGGUGCAGAUAUGGACAGAGACCACAGCUCCAAUUGCCGCAGCCCCCGGAAGCUGCCCUGUGUCCUUUGCUUUUCG